GAACGAACGCUGGCGGCGCGUCUUAAGCAUGCAAGUCGAACGGCAAGAGGUAGCAAUACCUCCUAGAGUGGCGGACUGGUGAGUAGCACGUGGGUGACAUACCCUCAGAGUGGGGAUAGCUAAUUAGAAAUAGUAGAUAAUACCGAAUACGAGCACAGGGGUUAGAGAUCUGUGAGGAAAGGAGCUAAGGCUCCGCUGAAGGAAUGGCCUGCGGCCCAUUAGCUAGUUGGUGAGGUAAGAGCCCACAAGGCGAUGAUGGGUAUCCGGCCUUAGAGGUGAACGGACACAUUGGGACUGAGAUACGGCCCAGACUCCUACGGGAGGCAGCAGCUAAGAAUAUUCCGCAAUGGACGAAAGUCUGACGGAGCGACGCCGCGUGGAUUGAAGAAGGCCGGAAGGUUGUAAAAUCCUUUUGAAACUGAAGAAUAAGCGUUGUAGGGAAUGACAGCGUGGUGACAGUAGGUUUUGAAUAAGCAACGGCUAAUUACGUGCCAGCAGCCGC
rnacentral:rRNA from 1 species